UACGUAGGGCGCAAGCGUUAUCCGGAGUUAUUGGGCGUAAAGAGCUCGUAGGCGGUUUGUCGCGUCUGCCGUGAAAGUCCGGGGCUCAACUCCGGAUCUGCGGUGGGUACGGGCAGACUAGAGUGAUGUAGGGGAGACUGGAAUUCCUGGUGUAGCGGUGAAAUGCGCAGAUAUCAGGAGGAACACCGGUGGCGAAGGCGGGUCUCUGGGCAACAACUGACGCUGAGGAGCGAAAGCGUGGGGAGCGAACAGG
rnacentral:rRNA from 1 species